rnacentral:rRNA from 1 species
GAAUCCCGUCUUUGGCAUGGAUGACCGGGGCUUUUGUGAUGCGCUCUCGAAGAGUCGAGUUGUUUGGGAAUGCAGCUCAAAAUGGGUGGUGAACUCCAUCUAAAGCUAAAUAUUGGCGAGAGACCGAUAGCGAACAAGUACCGUGAGGGAAAGAUGAAAAGAACUUUGGAAAGAGAGUUAAACAGUACGUGAAAUUGCUGAAAGGGAAACGCUUGAAGUCAGUCGCGUCAGCUGGAAAUCAACCCUGCUUUUGCUGGGCGCACUUUCCUGUCUGACGGGUCAGCAUCAGUUCUGGUCGCUGGAUAAAGUCCUUGGGAACGUGGCAUCCUUUGGAUGUGUUAUAGCCCACUGGCGCAUGCAGCGGCUGGGAUUGAGGAACUCAGCACGGCCCUUGCGAGAGGGCGAUUGGAGGGAGACCUCACAACUUACGUGCUUAGGAUGCUGGCAUAAUGGCUUUAAUCGACCCGUCUUGAAACACGGACCAAGGAGUCUAACAUGCCUGCGAGUGUUUGGGUGGUGAAAACUCAUGCGCGCAAUGAAAGUGAUGGUUGAGAUCCCUGUCAUGGGGAGCAUCGACGCCCAGACCAGACCUUUUGCGACGGAUCUGCGGUAGAGCAUGCAUGUUGGGACCCGAAAGAUGGUGAACUAUGCCUGAAUAGGGUGAAGCCAGAGGAAACUCUGGUGGAGGCUCGUAGCGAUUCUGACGUGCAAAUCGAUCGUCAAAUUUGGGUAUAGGGGCGAAAGACUAAUCGAACCAUCUAGUAGCUGGUUCCUGCC